GUCCACGCCCUAAACGAUGAUGACUAGUUGUUGGAGGAGUUAAAUCCUUUAGUAACGCAGCUAACGCGCGAAGUCAUCCGCCUGGGGAGUACGGUCGCAAGAUUAAAACUCAAAGGAAUUGACGGGGGCCCGCACAAGCGGUGGAUGAUGUGGUUUAAUUCGAUGCAACGCGAAAACCUUAACCUACCCUUGACAUGUGCGGAAUACUGCAGAAAUGCAGGAGUGCCCGAAAGGGAACCGCAACACAGGUGCUGCAUGGCUGUCGU
rnacentral:rRNA from 1 species